rnacentral:rRNA from 1 species
AGCAGCCGCGGUAAUUCCAGCUCCAAUAGCGUAUAUUAAAGUUGUUGCAGUUAAAAAGCUCGUAGUUGAAUUUCGGGAUUGACUCGAUGGUCGUGCCUUAAGGGGUAUGAACUGUCGUUGUUGAUUUCUCACCUUCUGGAGAAGCUCGAUGUCCUUAAUUGGAUGUCUUGUGGAACCAGGACCUUUACCUUGAAAAAAUUAGAGUGUUUAAAGCAGGCAUUUUGCUCGAAUACAUUAGCAUGGAAUAAUAGAAUAGGACGGCAUGGUUCUAUUUUGUUGGUUUCUAGGAUCACCGUAAUGAUUAAUAGGGAUAGUUGGGGGCAUUAGUAUUCAAUUGUCAGAGGUGAAAUUCUUGGAUUUAUUGAAGACUAACUACUGCGAAAGCAUUUGCCAAGGAUGUUUUCAUUAAUCAAGAACGAAAGUUAGGGGAUCGAAGACGAUCAGAUACCGUCGUAGUCUUAACCAUAAACUAUGCCGACUAGGAAUCAGACGAUGUUAAUUUUUAAUGACUCGUUUUGG